UUGUGAUGAUGAUGAUGAUGAUGAUGAUAACGAUGAUGGUAUUAAUGACGAUGGCCCGCCAUUAUUAUCAUCGUUGCCAUUUUCAUCAUUAUUGUCA
rnacentral:miRNA from 1 species